rnacentral:rRNA from 1 species
GCAUAUCAAUAAGCGGAGGAAAAGAAACUAACAAGGAUUCCCCUAGUAACUGCGAAGUGAAGCGGGAUGAAGCUCAAAUUUAAAAUCUGGCGUCUUCGGCGUCCGAAGUUGUAAUUUAGAGAAGUGUUUUCCGCGCCGGACCGUGUACAAGUCUCCUGGAACGGAGCGUCAUAGAGGGUGAGAAUCCCGUCUUUGACACGGACCCCCGGUGCUCUGUGAUACGCUCUCGAAGAGUCGAGUUGUUUGGGAAUGCAGCUCAAAAUGGGUGGUGAACUCCAUCUAAAGCUAAAUAUUGGCGAGAGACCGAUAGCGAACAAGUACCGUGAGGGAAAGAUGAAAAGCACUUUGGAAAGAGAGUGAAAUAGUACGUGAAAUUGUUGAAAGGGAAACGCUUGAAGUCAGUCGCGUCCGCCGGGAUUCAGCCUUACGGUGUACUUUCCGGUGGACGGGCCAGCAUCACUUUCAAUCAUCGGAAAAGGGCGAGGGGAAUGUGGCACCUCCGGGUGUGUUAUAGCCCUUUGUCGUAUACGGUGACUGGGAGUGAGGACCGCCUUUGUAGGAUGCUGGCGUAAUGGCUUUAAACGACCCGUCUUGAAACACGGACCAAGGAGUCUAACAUGCCCGCGAGUGUUUGGGUGGAAAACCCAUGCGCGUAAUGAAAGUGAAAGUUGGGAAGGCUAUCGUGGCCUGCACCGACGCCCGGACUUGAGAUUUAUCGAAGGUUCUGCGGUAGAGCGUGUAUGUUGGGACCCGAAAGAUGGUGAACUAUGCCUGAAUAGGGUGAAGCCAGAGGAAACUCUGGUGGAGGCUCGUAGCGAUUUCUGACGUGCAAAUCGAUCGUCAAAUUUGGGUAUAGGGGCGAAAGACUAAUCGAACCAUCUAGUAGCUGGGUUCCUGCCGAAG